rnacentral:rRNA from 1 species
GACGAACGCUGGCGGCGUGCCUAAUACAUGCAAGUCGAACGCAGUGGGGACGGGUGAUUAACACGUGGGUAACCUCCCAUCAGAGGGGAUAAAACUUGGAAACUGGUGCUAAUCCGCUACGUAUGUAUGGACUCGCGGUGCAUUAGCUAGUUGGUGGGGUAAAGGCUCACCAAGGCCACGAUGCAUAUCCGACCGGAGAGGGUGAUCGGCCACACUGGGACUUAGACACGGCCCAGACUCAGACGGGAGGCAGCAGUAGGGAAUCUUCGGCAAGGUACGAAAGUCUGACCGAGCAAUGCCGCGUGAGUGAAGAAGGUCUUCGGAUUGUAAACCUCUGUCGUUAGAGAAGCGGUAUCUAAACAGAAAGCAACGGAUAACUACGUGCCAGCAGCCGCGGUAAUAC